rnacentral:rRNA from 1 species
AGCGGCGGACGGGUGAGUAAUGCUUAGGAAUCUGCCAUUUAGUGGGGGACAACAUUCCGAAAGGAAUGCUAAUACCGCAUACGUCCUACGGGAGAAAGCAGGGGAUCUUCGGACCUUGCGCUAAAUGAUGAGCCUAAGUCGGAUUAGCUAGUUGGUGGGGUAAAGGCCUACCAAGGCGACGAUCUGUAGCGGGUCUGAGAGGAUGAUCCGCCACACUGGGACUGAGACACGGCCCAGACUCCUACGGGAGGCAGCAGUGGGGAAUUUUGGACAAUGGGCGAAAGCCUGAUCCAGCAAUGCCGCGUGCAGGAAGAAGGCCUUCGGGUUGUAAACUGCUUUUGUACGUAACGAAAAGGCCUGCCUUAAUACGGUGGGCCCAUGACGGUACCGUAAGAAUAAGCACCGGCUAACUACGUGCCAGCAGCCGCGGUAAUACGUAGGGUGCGAGCGUUAAUCGGAAUUACUGGGCGUAAAGCGUGCGCAGG